UUAAUUUUUCAUAAAAUUUUGACAAAGUAUUUACUUUGACCCUUUGACAAAAAUAUAAAAAUUUCAAAACAUUUGAACCAACCGUUUUAUCAGAAAAAUUACACUGGUUAUAUAGCAGUUUGACAAACACUUAUUUUGAUCACUGAGAAGCUUAAUAUUCCCUCACCAACACAACGUAAUUAAAACGUUUAGCUGAUUUUACAGAGUUAUCUCCCUGUAGUGUUAGGUACCACCUUAAACUGUUAAUAAUUUUAGGAAUAGCCCGCCUCUUUCUUAAAAAUAUUGGACAGCUGUAGGUAGCAUAACUGAGACUUACAGAUACAUGAUAGUCCAAUUACUGAAAAGAAUAUCAAUUCCGCC
rnacentral:lncRNA from 1 species